rnacentral:lncRNA from 1 species
AAGCAGAGGAAAAUACACCCAUUUGUAUGCUUUUCUGUUAUCAGCUUAUCAUAUAUAUCCGCAAAGCAGAAAGAAGUGCCAUUUCUCUCCAAAAUGAAAGAAUGGAACAUUCUCCAGAAGAAGAGUGAAUUAUUCUCUCCCUCCUGGUCUCUUUGCUGUGCCCUCUGCUGUUAAAUCCACUUCCAUGCUCUCAGUGAUCUUCCAUAAAACCAUGAGCACGUCAAAUUCUGAGAUAUUCUUCUCAUCUGUUUGUGGAACCAGAUUACAAGGUAAGAAAAAUACAAAACAACUAUAGUAUCCC